AGCCUGGAGGGAGAAAAAGAUAAAAAAAAGCAUGGCUGAAAAAAAUAUAUCUCAGAGUCACUACCUUGGGCCUUACUGGUUUCAUGAUUUACCUAAACAGCAUAAAUAAUAGCCUAAUGUCUAGAUCCAGGGAAGUCAUGCGGCAACAGAUCCUCUUGGACACAGUGUGAUUCCAGGUGUGGUCUGGUCAAGGCAGAAUUUUGCCUCUAUUCUGCCUUGAUCAGACCACACCUGGAAUCACACUGUGUCCAAGGGGAUCUGUUGCCGUAUGACUUCCCCUCUAUUCUGCCUUGAUCAGAUCACACUUGCAAUCACACUGUGUCCAAUUCUGGGUCCAAGAGCAAUACUUCACAAGGCAAGGCAAUAGUCCAUAGAGUCCAAGAAUAAGAUCCAAAGUCCAGAGGUCCAAUAGAGUCCAAGAACAAAAUCCAAAAUACAAAGAUCCAAGAGUCCAAACUUCUCCCAUUCCCUGCCCACACUGUUUCUACCCCUGGCUCCCAAACUGAUGUUCACUAUGAGGCUUUUCUGUGGUAUUUUAUUGUUGUAUUGCUGUAACUUUUAUAAAGGCACCUUAAUGGAAAGAUACUCUGUGGAGGCUUUUGAAAGUUGAAAAUAGAAUAAAAAUUUAUUUUCUUAAAAACAGGCAAAUGAUUACUUCAGAGAGGUUCAUAAGCGUCAUCGGUUACAGACGUUCUUCAGCUUAACUUAGUUGUAUGUUUCAGGUUACUUCACUUAGUUUCAAACAGUUCCAACCAACCAAUCUAUCUGUUGGUCACAAAAACCCUCGCUCUAUUUGCUGAGAAUAGUCACGAGUUCCCCUGGGUUGUUAAUUAACUCUAACCUAGAGUCCUUCUAUUAACCAGCCCAGUAGUGAGAGCCGAUCCCUUGAGUUAUCUUCCCCUCAAGAGAUCCAAACUGCCUGACCUAGCCUGUCAGUUUCACAGUUUUUCAGUUCUCACACACACACUCCAAACUCCUCUUUUCUCUCCAAACCCCAAAACUGAACUGCUCUCUUCAAACCCCAAAACAGAACUGCCUGGGGCUCUUUUUUUUCCCUCUGCACUCUAAGACUUGGCUCCUCCCAUCUGCUCUGGUUGGCCAAUCCUAGAAGUCUCUCUCUAAGCUCCUCCCCCUUUCUAACCACACUCAAGAUGGCUGCCUGGCACUCCUCUACAAAAUGGAGGCUUGCCUCACUCACUGUUACCCAGGCUUCAUCCCAGGCCUAAUAGUGCUGCCUUCGCUUCACAUGAGGAACACACAGUCCCUAUGAUAUAUUAUGAUAUAUUCUGCAAACAAACUUUUCUUAUACCUGACUAGUCACUCCCAGAGAGUGAAUAAACAAUAGCAAUCCAUUGAAGAUGCUUCCUGUUGCAACACAGAGAACAAACAAGUCUUGCUCUGCACUGACGUAACUCGGCCUACUUAUAGAAUCAUGGAAGAGACCUCAUGGGCCAUCCAGUCCAACCCCCUGCCAAGAAGCAGGAAAUCGCAUUCAAAGCAUCCCCGACAGAUGGAC